rnacentral:rRNA from 1 species
UACAGAGGUCUCAAGCGUUGUUCGGAUUCAUUGGGCGUAAAGGGUGCGUAGGUGGCGCCGUAAGUCGGGUGUGAAAUUUCGGAGCUUAACUCCGAAACUGCAUUCGAUACUGCUGUGCUUGAGGACUGGAGAGGAGACUGGAAUUUACGGUGUAGCGGUGAAAUGCGUAGAUAUCGUAAGGAAGACCAGUGGCGAAGGCGGGUCUCUGGACAGUUCCUGACGCUGAGGCACGAAGGCCAGGGGAGCAAACGGG